UCCCCAAUAGCUCAGUUGGUAGAGCGCUCGGCUGUUAACCGAUAGGUCGUUGGUUCGAGUCCAACUUGGGGAGCCA
rnacentral:tRNA from 2 species